UACGGAGGAUCCAAGCGUUAUCCGAAAUCAUUGGGUUUAAAGGGUCCGUAGGCGGUUUAGUAAGUCAGUGGUGAAAGCCCAUCGCUCAACGGUGGAACGGCCAUUGAUACUGCUAGACUUGAAUUAUUAGGAAGUAACUAGAAUAUGUAGUGUAGCGGUGAAAUGCUUAGAGAUUACAUGGAAUACCAAUUGCGAAGGCAGGUUACUACUAAUGGAUUGACGCUGAUGGACGAAAGCGUGGGUAGCGAACAGG
rnacentral:rRNA from 1 species